UGGGACAUUUUUCCUUCGCUGAUUGCUUCCUUCCCCAAUGAGUCAACAAUCUUCAUUCGUCUGUCCUUUGAUGACCUCCGGCCUACAUAUCUCUGGGGUAUUCCUCCUCCUGAAUUCUCAAUUUGGGAUGCUCCAAUAAAAGAAGCAACACUUAAUUCACUGCCACAAAAAACACAGUUUUGUCUGAUUUUUCCACAGAAUCGACCCCGGUUUAUCCUUGUACUUGGCAGGAUCCCAGCCGAGUCAAGUCAAGUCAGCCAGCUCCUGGGCCUCAUUAGACUGAAACCAUCAUGCCACUGCCCAAAGAUAUCGUGAAGAUCGCCGUGCAGAUGCCUGGGGCCUACCCUCAGCUGAUCGACCUCGAUCAGAAAAAGCCCUUGUCAACCGUCCUGAAGGAGGUCUGCGACGUCUGGAACAAGAGUAACCCUGAUCAGUAUGCCCUGCAGUACGCUGAUGGGAUACAGACGUACAUCACAGAGACG